rnacentral:lncRNA from 1 species
CGGGCCACAGGAUUCCACUGGCUGUUAUGUAGGUGGGACGAUUUCGUCCCACUGGCCCUAGAGAAGUUAAUUCAUUGAGCUGUAUCUAAAGAUAUUUUCUUUACAGUUAUUUACGUAUGUAAUUGUAUUAGAAUUUGUGUGUUGGAGAUUGAGAGAACUACAUAGAUAUUUUUGUUGUAUUGGUUAGUAUUGGAUUACGCAUUUGACAUCAAGUUCCAGAAUGCCUUGCGACAGGUAGUAGAGAGAACGUGCCAGUUAUGUACAAGUGACAAGUGAUUAUCCUGACUUUCGCUAGCAACUUUCUUUUAUUGUUUUGUAGAAUCUAAAGUUGUUAAAUGUAACGUGAACAAGUAGUAUUACUAAAAGAAGCUUUCAUUUCAAACCCGACGUCCCGAGUCAUUACUUGAAGAUAGUUAUUCUAUACUUUGUUUUCAUAUCAGUGUCUUUGGUAUGCUCGAAAUCUUCUUCAGCCGGUCACUCUGUGGCUUGUUUGACAAUUUGACAAAUGUUUAACUCCGAACCACAUAGAAAGAUUAUUCCAGAGUUUUAUCCAUUUUAUUUUUCUCCCAAACUCAAUGUCCAGCGUACGUUCCAUUGUACUUCUACACACUACAGCUAUCGGCUGUUGGGCCGGCAUGUCCCUACUGCCCUAAAGGAAAGAAAGACCACACCUGAAUUAUUGCAUUAUUCAGUUCUGUGUGUACUCGAGGAGUGCCUUUCAAAAUGUACCAGUGCCACAAAUAACAAAAAUAUAUACACUACCAGUCAAAAGUUUUAGAACACCUACUCAUUCAUGGGUUUUUCUAUAUUUGUACUAUUUUCAACAUUGUAUAAUAGUAGUGAAGACAUCAAAACUAUGAAAUAACACAUAUGGAAUCAUGUAGUAACCAAAAAAGUGUUAAACAAAUUAAAAUAUAUUAUAUAUACUCCCUUUGCCUUGAUGACAGUUUUGCACACUCUUGGCAUUCUCUCAAACAACUUCACCUGGAAUGCUUUUCCAACAGCCUUGAAGCAGUUCCCACAUAUGCUGAGCACUUGUAGGCUGCUUUUGCCUAUGCCAUGGUAGUCACUGCUAGACUGGUAGCUAGCUAUCAGCGUAAAUGUCACUGGUGUAGAGAGGAGUAGGCAGGAGGCAGUCGCAGGUUAACCUGUUGGGGCUAGGGGGCAGUAUUGAGAAUUUUGAAAAAAAUAUGUGCCCAUUUUUAACUGCCUCCUACACCAUCUCAGAAGCUAGGAUAUGCAUAUUAUUAACAGAUUUGGAUAGAAAACACUCAGAAUUUUCUAAAACUGUUUGAAUGGUGUCUGUAAGUAUAACAGAACUCAUAUGGCAGUCAAAAGCCUGAGACAAUUUCUAACAGGAAGUGUGUAUCUGAUGUGUUGAAUUACUUUUAAGCCUAUGCCAUUGAAACAUACAGGGACUUAUUAAUCAUUGAGCACUUCCUACGCCAUCCACUAGAUGUCACCAGUCUUUACAAAGUGGUUUGAGUCUUCUACUGUGAAAACUGACCGAAUAAGAGACUUGGAACGUUGGACAUAAGUGGAUGGCCGAUACUACUCUGGCGCACGAGUGCAUGUUUGGGUACUCUCGUUCCAAUACGUUUUAAAAGAGAAUGCAAUCGUCCGCCUUGAAUAUUAUUGAAGUUCUGAUUGAAAAAUGCCCUAAUGAUUUAUGCUAUACAACGUUUGACAUGUUUGAACGAACGUAAAUAUUUUUUUCCCCCUCUUUGGUGAAGACAAGUCCGGCUGGCGUUGUUCAUGUUUUUGAGCAGCCUACAGGACGCGCUAACAACACGGAGCUUUUUGGACAUAAAUUAUGAGCUUUUUCGAACAAAACUACAUUUGUUAUGGACCUGGGAUACCUGGAAGUGCCUUCUGAUGAAGAUAAUCAAAGGACCUGCUCCCUAGGACCAUGUCUCAGGACUACUUGGCCUGAUGACUCCUUGCUGUCCCCAGUCCACCUGACCGUGCUGUUGCUCCAGUUCUGUUCUUCCUGUGGCUAUGGAACCCUGACCUGUUCACCGGAUGUGCUACCUGUACCAGACCUGCUGUUUUCAACUCUCUAGAGACAGCAGGAGCGAUAGAGAUACUCUGAAUGAUUGGCUAUGAAAAGCCAACUGACAUUUACUCCUGAGGUGCUGACCUGUUGCACCCUCGACAACCACUGUGAUUAUUAUUAUUUGACCCUGCUGGUCAUCUAUGAACAUUUGAACAUCUUGGCCAUGUUCUGUUAUAAUUUCCACUCGGCACAGCCAGAAGAGAACUGGCCACCCCUCAUAGCCUGGUUCCUCUCUAGGUUUCUUCCUAGGUUCUGGCCUUUCUAGGGAGCUUUUCCUAGCCACCGUGCUUCUACACCUGCAUUGCUUGCUGUUUGGGGUUUUAGGCUGGGUUUCUGUAUAGCACUUUGUGACAUCAGCUGAUGUAAAAGGGGCUUUAUAUAUAAAUGUGAUUGAUUGUAGCACAGAGAAUUUUCGACCAACCUUAGUUUGGCGAUACUGUCUUCGUCCUCGAUUCAGGAGUCUCAUGAAAUGUUUAUGUCCAGUUACAGGGGGCCCGUUUGAAUUUCGAAAACGCUCAGUUAUUAAAAGAAAAUACUUUUUUGCUCAACCGUGAAUUAAUCCGAAAAUGUGUACGCCGCCAUCUUGUCUAUUUCAACUCUUCUCUCAUUGAUCGAGAUAUGUGGGUGUCCACCACAAAGGGCCGGUGGCAGCGUACACAUUGUUGGAUUACUUCAUGAAGCAAAUAUUUUUAUUUUUAACUGAUCCCCUGCAACUG